rnacentral:rRNA from 1 species
UAGGGAAUCUUCCACAAUGGACGAAAGUCUGAUGGAGCAACGCCGCGUGAGUGAAGAAGGGUUUCGGCUCGUAAAACUCUGUCGUUAAAGAAGAACAUAUCUGAGAGUAACUGUUCAGGUAUUGACGGUAUUUAACCCGAAAGCCACGGCUAACUACGUGCCAC